rnacentral:rRNA from 1 species
UACGUAGGUGGCAAGCGUUGUCCGGAUUUAUUGGGUUUAAAGGGUGCGUAGGCGGUCUUUUAAGUCAGUGCUGAAAUACUCCAGCUUAACUGGAGGGGUGGCAUUGAUACUGGAAGACUUGAGUGUAGUCGAGGUAGGCGGAAUUGACGGUGUAGCGGCGAAAUGCUUAGAUAUCGUCAAGAACACCGAUAGUGAAGACAGCUUACUCGGCUACAACUGACGCUGAGGCACGAAAGUGUGGGGAUCAAACAGG